rnacentral:rRNA from 1 species
AGUGAACGCUGGCGGUAUGCCUAACACAUGCAAGUCGAACGGCAGCACACUAAGAGCUUGCUCUUACGGGUGGCGAGUGGCGGACGGGUGAGGUAUACAUCGUAAUCUACUUUUUCGUGUGGGAUAACGUAGGGAAAGUUACUCUAAUACCGCAUACGACCUACGGUUGAAAGCAUGGGAUCUUCUGACCUUUCGCGAUUGAAUGAGCCGAUGUCGGAUUAGCUAGUUGGGGGGGUGAAGGCCCACCAAGGCGACGAUCCGUAGCUGGUCUGAGAGGAUGGUCAGCGGCACUGGAGCUGAGACACGGACCAUAGUACUACGGGAGGCAGCAGUGUGGAAUAUUAGACAAUGGGCGCAAAUAUGGUACAGCCAUCGCGAGUCGGUGACGGCGACCCUCGGUUUGUGAUGACCUUUUGUUGGGAAAGAACCGCAGCAGGUUAAUACGAAGCUGGUCUGACGGUAACGAAUGAAGAAGCACCGGCUAACUACGUG